rnacentral:lncRNA from 1 species
AGCCCAAGGUGUAUAGGAGGCUCUGCCAUCUAAGGUUUAUGAACUCCGUGGUGCUUGCACGCUCACGAGAUUGCCUGACCGUGACGCACUCCUCAGAACCUAGCCCCACUGUUAAGCAAAGCAUGACUGCACUGCCUUAGAUUCUCCACGGUUCCGGACCCUGCACGGUUUAGAUGACUGCACACGCAGAGGGCACCGCGUCUGAGGCAGAGAGCGGCUGGAGUCACAAAAGCUCUCGACAGAGAGUCAAGGAAAGGCGUGCUCUGCUCACACGACUCUCUACUUUUCUCUGGGUCUGAACUAUUUUACAGCUAAUCUACUUUUUUUAACCGAGCAGCUUUGCCAAGAAAAAGUUACCAACAAAUACCAGCCAAACCAAUAUGAGCGAUACCUAUUAAAUAAGCCUGACCCUACUAGGCUACUGACAAGGCUUUUAUUUCCCUGGGAUAAUCUGGACAGCAUUAGAUUCUGUUACCAAGAGCAGCCAAGUCGAGGGAGAUUAUUUCUAAUUCCACAGUGCCACAGAUGCGGUCAGUAGCAACUGCAAGCUGGAAAGGAAACAAAGCCGGGUGUAAUCCAUUCCAGUUCACACGUUGCACGAGGGACAGCCUCCAAGCCUUGAAUACUUAUGUAUGCAUUUAUCCAUUUAUUUAAUCAACCACUACUAACGCCUACUGAAGGCCAGACACUGCUCUAAGUACUUUACGGACAUGAAAUAGCCUCUAACCUUUACACUCACCUAUGGAGUGUGUGUUAUAAUCAUCCCCGUUUUACAGAUCAGGAAACUGACACACAGAAUGGUACAGUAACUUGCCCAAGUUCACACAGCCCGUAGGUGGCAGAGCUAGGACCCAUGUGACAGAGUCUGGCUCCAGAGUCCACGUGCUGAAUCACCACGCUUAGUCUCCGAAAGCCUAUAGAAAGCGCCAGCCUUAAUCGAAAAGUUUGGUUUUCCCCACCCUACAGUCCCUACGCGGCCCCCAGUCUCCAGGGCAUGCUUUCAGCUCCUCUGACAGGCCAUCCUCCUCCCUUGCCCUGUCCCAACGCUCUCCCGCACAAGUCCCUACGCGGCCCCAGUCUCCAGGGCAUGCUUUCAGCUCCUCUGACAGGCCAUCCUCCUCCCUUGCCCUGUCCCAACGCUCUCCCGCACAAGUCCUCCUUUGCUUUUAGGCAUCUGCUCUCAGCUUAAACAUCACUGCCUAAGUCACAAAGUCUAACAGUAAAUGCCGUAUUUCUCAGCACUCAACACAGAAUUGCUUUUACGUAUCUCCUAGGUAAUUAGUCGCUGCCUAUCUGUCCUUUCCAACUAGGGCUGCGAGGUCCCAGUACGUCAAACACCCUGUCAGUCUUGCCCACCAAAGUGUCCAGACCACUGAACACGCACCGACCCGAGGAAAGGAAGGACUUGUCCCAAAGUCAACUCUCCCAGACUUUCUGUGGAAGGAGGGAACGAACGGAGCACCCUCCAGCCUCACGCUUUCUUUGCCAGACUUUCAAGUGUGGGACACCCACCUGUGCUCACAAUGCUCCCCGGACAGCCCCCACUGCACCCCUAACAGGUAGACUUCUGCCCAGUCAAGGCCUUUGGAAAGCACUGGCUCUGCACACGAAUAUUAUGCGGGGGGUGGGGCAAGGGGCUUCCCCUGAACCGGCCUGAGCUUCAGGGCCACGACAGGCUUCGUGAAAACCCCAACGGAACGUAGCCUCCAAAAGAGGGAGACCUGCACCCCUCAGAACGGAUCGAGACCAGUGUCGUAACCAACGUCGCGUCU